CUGUUCUCAACAAAACUAUUUCUAUAUGGACCUCGCUGUGUGUCCGAGAAGGGGCCUUCCCCAAACUCUUGGGGAAGCACAGAAUCAUCUAGAAUGUGAUUGUAUGCUGUAGCAUUAUAUUUUGCCUUCACUGGUACUAGGGGCUGAGCCCAAACCAUGAAAAACAGCCUCAGACUAAGGGGCGUUCUGGUACUUUUGGUCAUUAUGUAUAGUAAGUUACAGGAGUCAAGUUCCAGUUUCUACUUGAUCAAGAUACUCUGCUGAACUAAGUACACUCGUUCAGUCUGUACCAUCCAAAGGAAAAGAAUGACUCUUUAAGAACAUGAAGCACAUCUGCUAAAAUCAUCGGUGUGCACAGCAUUCUAAAUCUUUGUCACACACCACCAGUGUGAAGAUCCCCCCUACCAAGUAUGAAAGUGAGGGACAGCAAUCUCUCUCUUCCUGCACGGCCUCUUCCUGCCCUUUCACCCAAAGCACCAUUGUCCUUUGAGUUCCCACAUACUGUGGAAUUCCUGUGGAACUCCUUGCAGAAUGCCUAAAAUCGCUGCUGUCACUGACUUCUCUAAAUGCACAGAUAAAGUUGCUGUAAGCAGUAACCAGGCUCUCCCGACUUAGCUCGCCUGUGGCAACUAAACCUAGUCCAUCCCACGUGGAAACCAGCGCACGCCCGGCGCUGCAUCGACUAACCACUACGAAGAAGAUCCUUUCUGACAACCGACCAGCGGGGGACAACAUUGCCGCUGCUAUGGGACGAGGACUCAGCUUGCACACCUCAUGCCUGGAAACCUCCACAAAUUCACCAUACCAAGACUGUUCUCUCCAGGACUCCACAGCGACCACCGGAGGCUGCUAUCUGCAUGGACGGAUGGACAAGCUUUCAAGGCUAUAGCAGUUUGGCUUAGUCUGUACACAUGUUACUGUGUAUUUGUGUGUUUCCAUUUGGCCUUUCAGAUUGUUUGCGCUGGUGAUGUAACCUUAGAAUACAACCGCACAUGUGGUCUUUCUCUCUCCCUCUCAUUCUCCCCAACUAACUUUCCAACCCUAACGACAACACUCUCAUAGUAUAGUUGGUAGUGGAAGAAUAACUAGCUUGGUUGCAUGUAUUGCUUAAGAGCUGAAGUUACGUUUCACUCUCCAGCACUACUGGGAGCAAUACUCCUACAUAGCUGAGCUAAGUUAUUUAGUCAUGCCUGGUACACUAUAUAUAUAUAUAUAUAUGUACCCCACACAUAUGCAACAAACCCACCGUUUGCCCUUCCCCCUUUCAUCCACAAACACAUGUGCACAUGCUCCCGCACACACACACACACACACACACAUACGCCCUCCUACCUUUCAUAUUUAACAUAGUUCUCCCCAUUUAGAUUAGUUUGUGUAUGCUCUGUGUUUGUACAUUUGUUUAAUAAAUUAUUUAUAUUAAA